CGACUUUUAUAUAUAUUACAUGAGUUUAGAUCAGGUAGGUACUUGCAGACAUUACGGCGGAAAGUACGACGACUUGUCCGCCACAUAUUUUUAUUUACUUAAUUAUAUUAAUUUAUCUUAGGAGCUGCAGUUCUGAAUGGACAGAUUGUUUACUGCGGGGGAUAUGUUAAUGGUGCUAUAGGUAUCAUCAGAAACUGCUUCAAGAAUGAGGGAAUGGACUGGAUAGAGUUUGAAAGUAUGAAUGUGGCUAGAUUUUGGUUUACCCUGACUACACUAGGAGACAAGAUACUUGCUGCCGGAGGAAGAGAUACUCCAGAGGGGAAUACUGCUACUGUGGAGGUGUUUGAUGGAUCCUCCUGGAAGCUUCA